CGGGGUGAGUAAUGUCUGGGAAACUGCCCGAUGGAGGGGGAUAACUACUGGAAACGGUAGCUAGUACCGCAUAACGUCGCAAGACCAAAGAGGGGGACCUUAGGGCCUCUUGCCAUCGGAUGUGCCCAGAUGGGAUUAGCUAGUAGGUGGGGUAAUGGCUCACCUAGGCGAUGAUCCCUAGCUGGUCUGAGAGGAUGACCAGCCACACUGGAACUGAGACACGGUCCAG
rnacentral:rRNA from 1 species